UGCCUUUGUGUUGCCCUUUCAUUGUGUUCUUAAUGAAUAGGGUGUCAACUAAGGCAUACAGUGACUCUUGUGGUUGUGGUAGAAAUUCUUCAUCAUUGAGCUUUUUCUACACAAUUGGCUGCAAGCACAAAU
rnacentral:snoRNA from 1 species